rnacentral:tRNA from 1 species
GCUCCGGUGGUGGAAUUGGUAGACACAUACGAUUCAGGGUCGUACGCGAAAGCAUCCGAGUUCGAGUCUCGGCCGGAGCACCA